rnacentral:rRNA from 1 species
CUUCNAGGGGGGAAGANGGAGAGUGGAGAUUGUCGCUGGCCCUCUUUCACGAAGGGGGCAUGUGCACGUCUUCCUCUACGUCGACCCUUCUCUCAACCCACACACCUGUGCACCCGUUGUAGGUCCUCGAAAGAGGAUCUAUGUUUUUCACAUCACACACCAUCGCAUGUCUAUAGAAUGUAUAUAAAUCCAUACAACUUUCAGCAACGGAUCUCUUGGCUCUCGCAUCGAUGAAGAACGCAGCGAAUUGCGAUAAGUAAUGUGAAUUGCAGAUUUUCAGUGAAUCAUCGAAUCUUUGAACGCACCUUGCGCUCCUUGGUAUUCCGAGGAGCAUGCCUGUUUGAGUGUCAUUGAAUUAUCAACCAUGCCUUGAUUGAUUUCGAGGCAUGGCUUGGAAUUUGGGGGUUGCUGGCAGCGAAAAGUUAUCAGCUCUCCUGAAAUGCAUUAGCAAAGGGCGGCGAGUCUUUGACGUGCACGGCCUUCGACGUGAUAAUGAUCGUCGUGGCUGGAGCGUCGGGACAUGCAUGAAUCGUCCCAUGCUUCUAAUCCCUGCAAGCUCGAGUUGCUUAGCUACUAGUUGGUCGUGAGGCCGACGAACGUUGGGCAGCUGCUGGCUUGUCAUUUCUGACACUUGACCUCAAAUCAGGUAGGACUACCCGCUGAACUUAAGCAUAUCAAUNANGCCGGA